GAUGAACGCUGGCGGCGUGCCUAAUACAUGCAAGUCGAGCGAACAGACGAGGAGCUUGCUCCUCUGACGUUAGCGGCGGACGGGUGUGUAACACGUGGAUAACCUACCUAUAAGACUGGGAUAACUUCGGGAAACCGGAUCUAAUACCGGAUAAUAUAUUGAACCGCAUGGUUCAAUAGUGAAAGACGGUUUUGCUGUCACUUCUAGAUGGAUCACGGCCGCAUUAGCUAGUUGGUAAGGUAACGGCUUACCACGGCGACGAUGCGUAGCCGACCUGAGAGAGUGAUCGGCCACACGGGAGCUGAGACGCGGUCCAGGCUCCUACGAGAGGCAGCAGUAGGGAAUCUUCCGCAAUGGGCGAGAGCCUGACGGAGCAAGGCCGCGUGAGUGAUGACGAUCUUCGGAUCGUGAAACUCUGUUAUUAGGGAAAAACAAAUGUGUAAGUAACUAUGCACGUCUUGACGGUACCUAAUCAGAAAGCCACGGCUAACUACGUG
rnacentral:rRNA from 1 species